CAGCUGAGAGCCAGAGCCUCUUCUUACCCUGCAGGGGACAGAUGUCAGCAUGCCGCUGGCCCGUGUGCUGUGGGCAGUCGUGGUGUCCACCUGUCUUGGAUCCAGUAUGGCCCAGAAGGUCACCCAGACUCAACCAGAAAUGUCUGUGCACGAGGCAGAGACCAUGACCCUGGACUGCACGUUUGACACUCGUGUCAGUAAUUAUUAUUUGUUCUGGUACAAACAGCCUCCCAGUGGGGAGAUGGUUCUCAUUAUUCGCCAAGAAGCUAAUAAGCAAGAGAAUGCAACAAAUAAUCGCUUCUCUGUGAACUUCCAGAGGGCAGAUAAAUCCUUCAGUCUCAGGAUCUCAGCCGCCCAGCUGGAGGAUGCUGCGAUGUAUUUGUGUGCUCUCAUGGAGGGCACAGUGACAGGAGCAACAGAGGGAGGUUUACAGAAACCUCAGACCUCAGCAUCUGUGCAGAGGUCAGGGUGGGAGGAGUGA